GGAGGUUGGAUGGUCGCCUGAGCUGGUCGAUGUGGACUGAAAAUCCGCGCUUGAGAUUCAGCAGGGGAGGAAAGUCCGAACUCCGCAGGACAGGAUGCCGGCUAACGGCCGGGCGCCGUGAGGCGAUGGAAAGUGCAACAGAGAGCAGACCGCCGAUGGCCGGAGAAAGCUGAGGGCAGGUGAAUAAACAGGAUGUUUGCCCCGAUGUGCUCGUCAAAUCGGGAUGAUCCGCGUUUGCAAGCAAACACGGGCCUGUCUCCACGGACUGAAGUCCGUGGUAAGUGAACAUUUUGACCUGAUCUCAGCUUUCUCCGGCACAGGCAAGGGUGAAACGGUGGGGUAAGAGCCCACCGCAGGGAUGGUAACAGACCUGGCAGGGUAAACCCCAUCCGGAGCAAAGCCAAAUAGUCGGGGAGGUGCUGGCAACGAAGGGACCGUGAUGACCCCCUUCGCGAUGCACCACGUGGUUGUCCGCCGCGUUUGCACCCGUGGGUAGGCUGCGUCGAGCGCCGUUGAGAGACGACGCCAAGAUCGAUGACCGUCACCUUCGUGAAGAAGGAACAGAAUUCGGCUUACAGACCGCCUCG
rnacentral:RNase_P_RNA from 1 species